AAAUGGACUGAGCAAUGGACAGGGUGGCAGCCAAUUGUGGUCUUAGCCUGAGUACGAGAGGAGCUCAGGUAAAUGUGGGCUUUGGUGGACUGUUUGAAAAGUGUGUAUUGGGAGUUCUUUGUUCCAGGUCGUCCUUUAGGACGUGGUUGGAUUGGAGGAUAAUCUUUGUGCUGGGUGUCUUUCUAAGACCCAGAAGCCUUAUAAAAAAGGCAUCAAGAGGAAAUGGACUGCUGUGUACAGGGCAGUUUGCCUGGGAAACGUUCAAAAAGAACUCAGAUUGCUCUGCAGUGGCUGACUGAAUUGGAGGAAAGGAUUUGAGUUUGGUGUCCUCCUUGGAGCCUGCAUCCUUAGAAUAAAGGGAGCCAAAGCGAAUGGAGUGAGCAGCAAACAGAGAAGCAGCCAACAGGGGAGUCUGCCUGCAGAAUGUCCAAGAAGAGUUCAUGUAAGCGUGGGUAUUUGGUGAAGCUGUUCUGUGAUCUGGUGGGGUAAGUAUCCAAGUGUCUCUCUGUCAGUGAUUAUUUAUUUGGGAAGUGCGGCAGAAAAGUGUGAAAUGGGAGUGCUUUGUUCUAGAUGGGCCUAAAAGAGAGAAUUGAUUUGGAGGAAGGCUUUGAGCUGGACCUGCUGCUUGGAACCAGUCUUGUAAAAAAGGCAUCCAGAGAGGGUUGUUUGCCUGGGAAACGUUCAGGAAGAGCUCAGGUAAAUAUGGGUUUUGGGGAGAUGUUCUAUAAUCUGGUGGGGGUAAUUAUCUAAUUGUCUGUCUGUCUUUCUUAAUUUGUUUGAAAGUGUGGCAGUUUGAAAAGUGUGUAUUGGGAGUUCUGUUUUCUAGGUGGGCCUUCAAGGACUAAUUUGAUUGAAGGCAAGUCUUUGACCCUGGUGUCCUUCUAGGAGCCAGCAUCCUUAUAAAAAGGGCAUCAAAGGGAACGGAGUGAGUAGCCAACAGGAGAGUUGCCUGGAAAACGUUGAUGAGGAGUUCAGGUAAGUGUGAGGUUUAGGGAGCUCUGUUGUGACCUGGUGGGUAAGUAUCCAAGUGACUAUCAGUCUGCAAUUGUUUGAAAAAUGUUGCAGUUUGAAAAGUAUGUAUUUGGGAGUUCUAUGUUCCAGGUUGGUCUUUAGGAUCUAAUUGUAUUGGGGGCAAGCCUUUGAGCCAGGUGUUUGUUCUAGUAGGUAGCAUCCCCUGAGCGAAUGGAGUGAACAGCGAACAAGGCAGCAGCCAACAGAGGAAUCGGACUGAAAAAUGUCCGGGAGGAGCAUGGGUAAGUGUGGCUUUUGGGGGACCGUGUUGUGAGUUGACUGUGUGUUUGGCAUUUUAAAAAGUGUGUAUUGAGAUUUCUUUGUUGCAGGUUGGUCUUCAAGACUUGAUUAGAUUGGAGGCAAGUCUUUGAGCCAGCUGUCAUUGAAGGGUCCGGAGGCCUUUAUAAAAAUGGCAUCCAGAGCAAACUGACUGAGCAACCCACAGGGCAGGAGCCAACAGGGCAGUUGCCCUGGAAGUCAUCCAAGAGGAGCUCAGGUUGGCCUUCAAGACAUGAUUGGAUAUGAGGCAAGUCUUUGAACAAGGUGUCCUUCUAGGAGCCACCAGCCUUAUAAAAAAGGCAUCCACAGAGAACACAUCAGCCUGGGAAACGUCCAAGAGGAGCUCAGGUAAAUAUGGGUUUGGGGAGCUGUUCUGUGAUCUGGUGGGGUAAGUAUCCAAGUGUCUGUCUGUCUGCGAUCAUUUGUUUAAAAGUAUGGCAGUUUGAAAAGUGUGUAUUGGGAGUUCUAUGUUCCAGGUUGGCCUUUAGGAACUGAUUGGAUUUGGGGGAAAGUCUUUGAGCCAGGUGUUCUUCUAGGAGCUAUAGCAGCCUGAGCAAACAGAGUGAGCAACAAACAGAGGAAUUGGAUUGAAAAACAUCUGGAAGGAGCACAGAUACAUGUGGCUUUUGGGGGGCUGUUUUGUGAUCUGACGGGGGUAAGUAAUCCAAGUGUCUCUCUGUCUGUGAUCAUUUGUUUGAAUAUGCAGUAGUCUGAAAAGUGUGUAUUGGGAGUUCUAUGUUCCAGAUCAGCCUUUAGGAACUGAUUGGAUUGGGGACAAGUCUCUGAGCUGGGUGUUCUUCUCGGAGCUAGCAGUGUGAGUGAACAAAGUGAGCAGCCAACAGGGCAGUAGUGAACAGAGGAAUUCGCCUGAGAAACGUCUGGGAGGAGCACAGGUGGGCCUUCAGAGGGCUAACUGGAUUCAAGGCAAGGCUUUGAGAUGGACUUCCUCCUUGGAGCCCUCAUCCUUAUAAAAAAAGGCAUCCAAAGCAAACAGGGUGAGCCUCCAAGAGGGCAGCAGCCAACAAGAGAGUUUGCCUGGAAAACGUCUGAGAGGUGCUCAGGUAAGUGUGGGGUUUGGGGGGCUCUGCUGUGAUCUGAGGGGGGGGGUAAGUUUCCAAGUGUCUGUAUAUCUGCUGUCUUUUGUUUGACCAUGUGUUUCGCAGAUUGAAAAGUGUGUAUUGGGAGUGUUUUUUUCCAGGUUGGCCUUCAGGACAUGAGUGAAUUGGAGGCAAGUCUCUCACCCAGGUGUCCUUUUAGAAGCUAGCUGCCAGAGCGAACAGAGUGAGUAGUGAACAGGGUAGCAGCCAACAGAGCAAUAAGCGUGGGAAAACGUCCUGGAGGAGCAGACAUGUGCGUGCCUUUUGGGGGGCUGUGUUGUAAGUUCAUGGGGUGAGUAUCCAACGGUCUGUCUAGUUGGGAUCAUUUGUCUGUGUGUUUGUCAGUUUGAAAAGUGUGUAUUGGGAGUUCUUUGUUGCAGGUCAGGCUUCAGGACCUGAUUGGAUUGGAGGCAAGGUUUUGAGAUGUUUGCCCUUCUAGGAGCCAGCAGCCUUAUAAAAAUGGCAACUAGAGCAAACAGACUGAGCAGCGAACUGGGAAGUUUGCCUGUGAAACAUCUGGAAGGAGCACAAGUAAGUGGGUCUUUUGGGGGUUGUGUUGUGAUCGGGUGUGUAUCCAAGUUUGUCAGGUUGGGGUCAUUUGUAUGAACAUCUGUUUGUCAGUUUGAUAAGUGUGUAUUGGGAGUCCUUUGUUUCAGAUUGGCCUUCAGGACCUGAUUGGAUUGGAGGCAAGACUUUGAGCCCGGGUGUUCGUCUAGGAGCUAGCAGCCAGAACAAAUCAAGUGAGGAGCAGCCAACAGAGAUAUUGACCUGGGAAACGUCCAGGAGGACCACAGGUAAGUGUAGCUUUUG